UACGUAGGGGGCAAGCGUUGUCCGGAAUCAUUGGGCGUAAAGCGCGCGUAGGCGGCCCGGUAAGUCCGCUGUAAAAGUCCAGGGCUCAACCCUGGAAAGCCGGUGGAUACUGUCGGGCUAGAGUCCGGAAGAGGCGAGUGGAAUUCCCGGUGUAGCGGUGAAAUGCGCAGAUAUCGGGAAGAACACCCGUGGCGAAGGCGGCUCUCUGGGACGGUACUGACGCUGAGACGCGAAAGCGUGGGGAGCGAACAGG
rnacentral:rRNA from 1 species